UUCACUUCGGUGGCACGUGCUAAAAUUGGAAUGAUAGAGAUUAGCAUGCACUCUGCAUGCUAAGGCUGAUACACCAAUUUGUGAGGCAUUCCAUAUAUUU
rnacentral:snRNA from 1 species